GGUUAAGCGACUAAGCGUACACGGUGGAUGCCCUGGCAGUCAGAGGCGAUGAAGGACGUGCUAAUCUGCGAAAAGCGUCGGUAAGGUGAUAUGAACCGUUAUAACCGGCGAUGUCCGAAUGGGGAAACCCAGUGCAAUUCGUUGCACUAUCGUUAACUGAAUACAUAGGUUAACGAGGCGAACCGGGGGAACUGAAACAUCUAAGUACCCCGAGGAAAAGAAAUCAACCGAGAUUCCCCCAGUAGCGGCGAGCGAACGGGGAGCAGCCCAGAGUCUGAAUCAGCUUGUGUGUUAGUGGAACGGUCUGGAAAGUCCGACGGUACAGGGUGAUAGUCCCGUACACCAAAAUGCACAGGUUGUGAACUCGAAGAGUAGGGCGGGACACGUGGUAUCCUGUCUGAAUAUGGGGGGACCAUCCUCCAAGGCUAAAUACUCCUGACUGACCGAUAGUGAACCAGUACCGUGAGGGAAAGGCGAAAAGAACCCCGGCGAGGGGAGUGAAAAAGAACCUGAAACCGUGUACGUACAAGCAGUGGGAGCACCUUCGGGUGUGACUGCGUACCUUUUGUAUAAUGGGUCAGCGACUUAUAUUCUGUAGCAAGGUUAACCGUAUAGGGGAGCCGCAGGGAAACCGAGUCUUAACUGGGCGUUAAGUUGCAGGGUAUAGACCCGAAACCCGGUGAUCUAGCCAUGGGCAGGUUGAAGGUUGGGUAACACUAACUGGAGGACCGAACCGACUAAUGUUGAAAAAUUAGCGGAUGACUUGUGGCUGGGGGUGAAAGGCCAAUCAAACCGGGAGAUAGCUGGUUCUCCCCGAAAGCUAUUUAGGUAGCGCCUCGUGAAUUCAUCUUCGGGGGUAGAGCACUGUUUCGGCUAGGGGGUCAUCCCGACUUACCAACCCGAUGCAAACUACGAAUACCGAAGAAUGUUAUCACGGGAGACACACGGCGGGUGCUAACGUCCGUCGUGAAGAGGGAAACAACCCAGACCGCCAGCUAAGGUCCCAAAGUCAUGGUUAAGUGGGAAACGAUGUGGGAAGGCACAGACAGCCAGGAUGUUGGCUUAGAAGCAGCCAUCAUUUAAAGAAAGCGUAAUAGCUCACUGGUCGAGUCGGCCUGCGCGGAAGAUGUAACGGGGCUAAACCAUGCACCGAAGCUGCGGCAGCGACACUAUGUGUUGUUGGGUAGGGGAGCGUUCUGUAAGCCUGCGAAGGUGUGCUGUGAGGCAUGCUGGAGGUAUCAGAAGUGCGAAUGCUGACAUAAGUAACGAUAAAGCGGGUGAAAAGCCCGCUCGCCGGAAGACCAAGGGUUCCUGUCCAACGUUAAUCGGGGCAGGGUGAGUCGACCCCUAAGGCGAGGCCGAAAGGCGUAGUCGAUGGGAAACAGGUUAAUAUUCCUGUACUUGGUGUUACUGCGAAGGGGGGACGGAGAAGGCUAUGUUAGCCGGGCGACGGUUGUCCCGGUUUAAGCAUGUAGGCUGGUUGUCCAGGCAAAUCCGGAUAAUCAAGGCUGAGGUGUGAUGACGAGGCACUACGGUGCUGAAGUAACAAAUGCCCUGCUUCCAGGAAAAGCCUCUAAGCAUCAGGUAACAUCAAAUCGUACCCCAAACCGACACAGGUGGUCAGGUAGAGAAUACCAAGGCGCUUGAGAGAACUCGGGUGAAGGAACUAGGCAAAAUGGUGCCGUAACUUCGGGAGAAGGCACGCUGGUGUGUAGGUGAAGUCCCUGCGGAUGGAGCUGAGACCAGUCGAAGAUACCAGCUGGCUGCAACUGUUUAUUAAAAACACAGCACUGUGCAAACACGAAAGUGGACGUAUACGGUGUGACGCCUGCCCGGUGCCGGAAGGUUAAUUGAUGGGGUUAUCCGUAAGGAGAAGCUCUUGAUCGAAGCCCCGGUAAACGGCGGCCGUAACUAUAACGGUCCUAAGGUAGCGAAAUUCCUUGUCGGGUAAGUUCCGACCUGCACGAAUGGCGUAAUGAUGGCCAGGCUGUCUCCACCCGAGACUCAGUGAAAUUGAACUCGCUGUGAAGAUGCAGUGUACCCGCGGCAAGACGGAAAGACCCCGUGAACCUUUACUAUAGCUUGACACUGAACA
rnacentral:rRNA from 1 species